rnacentral:lncRNA from 1 species
UCGCAUUCAGUGGGUCCAAAGCGGGACCAUAAUUCGUCGACAAAGGCCUCCCAGGUAAUUUCCUUGUUCUCUUCUUUAUACGUACGUUGCAUCCACCUCCACCAUUGAUUAGCUUCUCCUUGGAGAUGAUAAGAGGCUAAAUACACCUUUUCAGUAGGGAUCGUUUUUUGAUAGUCGAAAAACUGUUCCACUUUAGCCAUCCAUUCUGUUGGAUCAUCGCCUGAAAAUUUAGGGAAUUCGAUUUUAGCGAGUUUGGAAGCGAAGAUAGG